rnacentral:rRNA from 1 species
UACAGAGGGGGCAAGCGUUGUCCGGAAUUAUUGGGCGUAAAGGGCUCGUAGGCGGUCUGUUGCGUCGGUAGUGAAAACUCAGGGCUUAACCCUGAGCCUGCUUCCGAUACGGGCAGACUAGAGGUAUGCAGGGGAGAACGGAAUUCCUGGUGUAGCGGUGAAAUGCGCAGAUAUCAGAAGGAACACCGGUGGCGAAGGGGCUGGUCUGACAG